rnacentral:rRNA from 1 species
AUUGAACGCUGGCGGCAUGCCUUACACAUGCAAGUCGAACGGUAACAGGUCUUCGGAUGCUGACGAGUGGCGAACGGGUGAGUAAUACAUCGGAACGUGCCCGAGAGUGGGGGAUAACGAGGCGAAAGCUUUGCUAAUACCGCAUACGAUCUCAGGGUGAAAGCAGGGGACCGCAAGGCCUUGCGCUCACGGAGCGGCCGAUGGCAGAUUAGGUAGUUGGUGGGAUAAAAGCUUACCAAGCCGACGAUCUGUAGCUGGUCUGAGAGGACGACCAGCCACACUGGGACUGAGACACGGCCCAGACUCCUACGGGAGGCAGCAGUGGGGAAUUUUGGACAAUGGGCGCAAGCCUGAUCCAGCCAUGCCGCGUGCAGGAUGAAGGCCUUCGGGUUGUAAACUGCUUUUGUCAGGGAAGAAACGAGUUUCUCUAAUACAGAGACUUAAUGACGGUACCUGAAGAAUAAGCACCGGCUAACUACGUGCCAGCAGCCGCCGUAAAAC